UACGUAGGGGGCUAGCGUUGUCCGGAAUCAUUGGGUGUAAAGCGCGCGUAGGCGGCCCGGUAAGUCCGCUGUGAAAGUCAAAGGCUCAACCUUUGAAUGUCAGCGGAUACUGCCGGGCUAGAGUCCGGAAGAGGCGAGUGGAAUUCCUGGUGUAGCGGUGGAAUGCGCAGAUAUCAGGAGGAACACCAACGGCGAAGGCAGCUCGCUGGGACGGUACUGACGCUGAGGCGCGAAAGCGUGGGGAGCGAACAGG
rnacentral:rRNA from 1 species